rnacentral:rRNA from 1 species
CAAGUCGAGCGGAAACGAGUUAUCUGAACCUUCGGGGGACGAUAACGGCGUCGAGCGGCGGACGGGUGAGUAAUGCCUAGGAAAUUGCCCUGAUGUGGGGGAUAACCAUUGGAAACGAUGGCUAAUACCGCAUAAUACCUACGGGUCAAAGAGGGGGACCUUCGGGCCUCUCGCGUCAGGAUAUGCCUAGGUGGGAUUAGCUAGUUGGUGAGGUAAUGGCUCACCAAGGCGACGAUCCCUAGCUGGUCUGAGAGGAUGAUCAGCCACACUGGAACUGAGACACGGUCCAGACUCCUACGGGAGGCAGCAGUGGGGAAUAUUGCACAAUGGGCGCAAGCCUGAUGCAGCCAUGCCGCGUGUGUGAAGAAGGCCUUCGGGUUGUAAAGCACUUUCAGUCGUGAGGAAGGUAGUGUAGUUAAUAGCUGCAUUAUUUGACGUUAGCGACAGAAGAAGCACCGGCUAACUCCGUGCCAGCAGCCGCGGUAAUACGGAGGGUGCGAGCGUUAAUCGGAAUUACUGGGCGUAAAGCGCAUGCAGGUGGUUUGUUAAGUCAGAUGUGAAAGCCCGGGGCUCAACCUCGGAAUAGCAUUUGAAACUGGCAGACUAGAGUACUGUAGAGGGGGGUAGAAUUUCAGGUGUAGCGGUGAAAUGCGUAGAGAUCUGAAGGAAUACCGGUGGCGAAGGCGGCCCCCUGGACAGAUACUGACACUCAGAUGCGAAAGCGUGGGGAGCAAACAGGAUUAGAUACCCUGGUAGUCCACGCCGUAAACGAUGUCUACUUGGAGGUUGUGGCCUUGAGCCGUGGCUUUCGGAGCUAACGCGUUAAGUAGACCGCCUGGGGAGUACGGUCGCAAGAUUAAAACUCAAAUGAAUUGACGGGGGCCCGCACAAGCGGUGGAGCAUGUGGUUUAAUUCGAUGCAACGCGAAGAACCUUACCUACUCUUGACAUCCAGAGAACUUUCCAGAGAUGGAUUGGUGCCUUCGGGAACUCUGAGACAGGUGCUGCAUGGCUGUCGUCAGCUCGUGUUGUGAAAUGUUGGGUUAAGUCCCGCAACGAGCGCAACCCUUAUCCUUGUUUGCCAGC